GACGAACCUUGCUAACGUUAUUCGGAAUCACUGGGCGUAAAGGGUGCGUAGGCGGGUCUUUUAAGUCAGGGGUGAAAUCCUGGAGCUCAACUCCAGAACUGCCUUUGAUACUGAGAAGCUUGAGCCCGGGAGAGGUGAGUGGAACUGCGAGUGUAGAGGUGAAAUUCGUAGAUAUUCGCAAGAACACCAGUGGCGAAGGCGGCUCACUGGCCCGGUACUGACGCUGAGGUGCGAAAGCGUGGGGAGCAAACAGG
rnacentral:rRNA from 1 species